rnacentral:rRNA from 1 species
UACGGAGGAUGCAAGCGUUAUCCGGAUUCAUUGGGUUUAAAGGGUGCGCAGGCGGAAUGAUAAGUCAGUGGUGAAAUCCUGCAGCUUAACUGCAGAACUGCCAUUGAUACUGUUGUUCUAGAGUAUAGUUGAAGUGGGCGGAAUGUGUCAUGUAGCGGUGAAAUGCUUAGAUAUGACACAGAACACCGAUCGCGAAGGCAGCUCGCUAAGCUAUAACUGACGCUCAUGCACGAAAGCGUGGGGAU